GACGUAGGGGGCGAGCGUUGUCCGGAUUUACUGGGCGUAAAGAGCGUGUAGGCGGCCAAACAGGUCCGUUGUGAAAACUGGAGGCUUAACCUCCAGACGUCGACGGAAACCGUGUGGCUAGAGUCCGGAAGAGGAGAGUGGAAUUCCUGGUGUAGCGGUGAAAUGCGCAGAUAUCAGGAAGAACACCAAUGGCGAAGGCAGCUCUCUGGGACGGUACUGACGCUGAGACGCGAAAGCGUGGGGAGCGAACAGG
rnacentral:rRNA from 1 species